AGUCGAGGGGUAACAUGGGUAGCAAUACCUGAUGACGACCGGCAAACGGGUGCGGAACACGUACGCAACCUUCCCAAAACUGGUGAAUAGCCCUCCGAAAGGAGGACUAAUACACCGUAACAUAACGAAGAGGCAUCUCUUUGUUAUUAUAGGCUCCGGCCGGUUUUGGAUGGGCGUGCGCCUGAUUAGGUAGUUGGCGGGGUAACGGCCCACCAAGCCUGCGAUCAGUAACUGGUGUGAGAGCACGACCAGUCACACGGGCACUGAGACACGGGCCCGACUCCUACGGGAGGCAGCAGUAAGGAAUAUUGGUCAAUGGACGAAAGUCUGAACCAGCCAUGCCGCGUGAAGGAUGAAGAUCCUCUGGAUUGUAAACUUCUUUUAUCUGGGACGAAAAAAGGGCAUUCUUGCUCACUUGACGGUACCAGAGGAAUAAGCACCGGCUAACUCCGUGCCAGCAGCCGCGGUAAUACGGAGGGUGCAAGCGUUAUCCGGAUUCACUGGGUUUAAAGGGUGCGUAGGUGGGUUGGUAAGUCAGUGGUGGAAUCUCCGAGCUUAACUCGGAAACUGCCAUUGAUACUAUCAGUCUUGAAUUUUCUGGAGGUAAGCGGAAUAUGUCAUGUAGCGGUGAAAUGCUUAGAUAUGACAUAGAACACCCAUUGCGAAGGCAGCUUACUAC
rnacentral:rRNA from 1 species